rnacentral:rRNA from 1 species
GACGAACGCUGGCGGCGUGCUUAACACAUGCAAGUCGAACGGAAAGGCCCUGCUUUUGUGGGGUGCUCGAGUGGCGAACGGGUGAGUAACACGUGAGUAACCUGCCCUUGACUUUGGGAUAACUUCAGGAAAGUGGGGCUAAUACCGGACAGGAGCUCCUGCUGCAUGGUGGGGGUUGGAAAGUUUCGGCGGUUGGGGAUGGACUCGCGGCUGAUGAGCUUGUUGGUGGGGUAGUGGUUUACCAAGGCUUUGACGGGUAGCCCGCCUGAGAGGGUGACCGGCCACCUUGCGACUGCGAUACGGCCCAGACUCCUACGGGAGGCAGCAGUGGCGAAUAUUGCCCAAUGGGCGGACGCCUGAUGCAGCAACGCCGCGUGCGGGAUGACGGCCUUCGGGUUGUAAACAGCUUUAGCCUGUGACGAAGCGUGAGUGACGGUAAUGGGUAAAGAAGCACCGGCUAACUACGUG